AGAACUGAGUUCAUGUUGAAGUAGGAAAUCUUGCCGCGAGAUCUCUAUAUAGCAGAUGGAAUUACUAUUUCAUUGCAGCCAGACAUUGACCAGAGCCUACGGAAAUCCACAAAGAAAAGCAACCUUUGAAACUCCCCCGGUUGGUGCCAACCAAGGAAGCCAGCCAUCACCCUGUUGAGUCGAUAAAGAGUGCAUCUAAUUUAGAAAAACAGAUUGCGCAGCCACGCACAGCCACCAUGGACUAUCACAAACGGGGAUCCAUAGUUGCCAAUCUCCAAUGAAAUGGAGAGUCGAUGGUCCAAAAAGUCCAAAGAAGGGGAUCCGAGUUCCUUCUCUUUCCCCCUCCCCCGGAAAUGGUCAGAUAGAUCCAAGAAGGCUCAUGCCAGAUCUAAGGUUCCUCCAAAGGACCGUCUGAAAGCAGCGGAGUGCAACUCCCAAUCCACCAGGGCGUUAGCCACCAGCGUCUGCCUAGGGACUGGCCUAGUAGGAAAGCCGCAGCCUACCUCCUCCCUGCCUCCCCCGGCUGCAGUCCCUCCCUUGCAGGCACAAUAAAAAAUGUAUUGCCUAGUCCUAGCAUGGUCCAGCCUUGGAAAGGCAGAGAAGGGCUGGAUGUCCCCUGGCCUUCCUUGGUGUUAGCUAUGGUUCCAAACAUUCCUUACCACUGAGGGUCAGCCAGGCAAUGCCAGCCCGUGGUUUGGAUCAGAAGGGGAACCAGGCACUGCCAGCCCGUGGUUUGGAUCAGAAGGGGAGCCAGGCAAUGCCAGCCCGUGGUUUGGACCAGUGGGGCAGCUAGACACUGACAGCCCGUGGGUUAGAUUCUAGGGGCUGCAAGGCAGUGCCAGCUUGUGGUUGGGAAUAGAAGGCAACCCAUGGAAAAUUUACUGCGCUUAGCAUGCAUUUUAUCAAUUAAUAUUAAUUAUUCAUAUUAAUAGGCUUAUUACUAUUAUUCUUCAUUAAUUAUUGAAGUCAGGUUUGUGGGGGGAAAGCAGCCCUGGAUUGUUGUUAUGAUUGUUUUCUCUGGCUUUUAUCACCCUUUGCAGGCAUUGUUCACGUUGAUUGCCUCGCUUAGAUAUGAUGUUGGGACAGCGCCUCCCUUGAAAUGGAAACAGAGGCCCUGAAUAAAGAAGGGUGGAAAAAAAAGUACUUUGUAGUCUGCAUCGUCCAUCUUUAAUUCAGAGACGCAUCUAUACUCCUGGGAGCGCUGCCUUUGAUCUCUUUGAUUUUUACACCAGAUCUGUUAUGGACUAAAAUUCCUAGGUUUUCCAUAGAAACAUCUCCAUUCCUUCGGGAUAUUGAUGUUUUCUUCUUCCUAGGGGUUAUGAUAUGGGACAAGAGGCCAUGCCAAAUGAGGGACAGAGGUGAAGCAAACCCAGCUGGGGAACUGGGAGCUCUGGAUCACUCUUGGUUUUCUCCAGAAACAUGAAACCAUUUAGGCCCUUUCCCUUUGCUUUAUACACUGAAGAAUAAGAUCCUCUUGAAAAUUAACAAGAUCCUUGUUAUUGUAAUUACUAAUUUCUUAUAUUGUAAUUACUAAUUUCAGCCAAUUUACACCCUAUUUAACCUUAUGUAUUGCUAGCAUUGAAAUGUAUUAUUUCCUUUUCAUAAAAAUGUCAUAAACAUCAAAGACGACUGGCAAACUCUUUAUCCAUUGAUUAAAAUGACUUUGGACCCUUAGCCAUGUGGAAACGGAUCCUAAUUUGAUCUCUCAUUACUUUUGUCCUAUGAAAACUGGUUUCUAACUUUCUGUGCUUAUGAAUACAUUCCUGUGGGAAAAGAAAUAAUAUACUGGGGACACCUCUGCAGAGGUGAUGUACAAGAAAUGUAUAUAUAUUACUGGUUUCAGAGUAUCAACCGUGUUAGUCUGUAUCCGCAAAAAGAAAAGGAGUACUUGUGGCACC